rnacentral:rRNA from 1 species
GUCUACAGCCAUGCCACCCUGAACAUGCCUGAUUCCGUCUAAUCUUGGAAGCUAAGCAGGGUAGGGCCUGGUUAGUACUUGGAUGGGAGACCACCUAGGAAGACCGGGUGCUGUAGGCA